rnacentral:rRNA from 1 species
UACAGAGGUCCCGAGCGUUUGUUCGGAUUCACUGGGCGUAAAGGGUGCGUAGGUGGCGAGGAAAGUUUGAUGUGAAAUCUCCGGGCUUAACCCGGGAAACUGCAUUGAAAACUACUUUGCUGGAGGAUUGGAGGGGGGGACUGGAAUUCUCGGUGUAGCAGUGAAAUGCGUAGAUAUCGAGAGGAACACCAGUGGCGAAGGCGAGUCCCUGGACAAUACCUGACACUGAGGCACGAAAAGCCCGGGGGGAGCAAACAGG